rnacentral:rRNA from 1 species
AGUGAACGCUGGCGGUAGGCCUAACACAUGCAAGUCGAACGGCAGCACAGUAAGAGCUUGCUCUUACGGGUGGCGAGUGGCGGACGGGUGAGGAAUACAUCGGAAUCUACUUUUUCGUGGGGGAUAACGUAGGGAAACUUACGCUAAUACCGCAUACGACCUACGGGUGAAAGCAGGGGAUCUUCGGACCUUGCGCGAUUGUAUGAGCCGAUGUCGGAUUAGCUAGUUGGCGGGGUAAAGGCCCACCAAGGCGACGAUCCGUAGCUGGUCUGAGAGGAUGAUCAGCCACACUGGGACUGAGACACGGUCCAGACUCCUACGGGAGGCAGCAGUGGGGAAUAUUGGACAAUGGGCGCAAGCCUGAUCCAGCCAUACCGCGUGGAUGAAGAAGGCCUUCGGGUUGUAAAGCCCUUUUGUUGGGAAAGAAAAGCAGCAGGUUAAUACCCCGCUGUUCUGACGGUACCCAAAGAAUAAGCACCGGCUAACUUCGUG